UGUGUGGUGCAUAACUUCAAAGGCAAGCAGUUGCUGAGUGGUGAAGACCCCCCACAGGAGAACAUGUCUAGAGUGGAGAGGCCACUGGAGAAGUACAUCACUUUGCAGAAUCACAUCGCCUUCGCUGAGGUCACAUGACGCUGAAUCGGCUGUUUGGCAAACCCAUUGGACAUCCACGCACUUCACCGUCCAAUCAAAAAUCGAAUAGCUCUUCACCGUCCAAUCAACAAAAAAAUAAUGGAAUAGUCAAGUUGCAACGCUAACUCAUUACGCAUGGCUACUGUAUGAGGUCUGUUAGUGUUGUUGUCUGUGAAGUCCCUGUAUCAUGGCCUAUAGAGCAGUCAGGGAAAACUCCUCAAAAGCAUGAUGGGAAAGGCCUUACUGGGUUUCUCCAUUUAUUUUAAUCUAUUUUGGGACUAAAUCCCCCAAGGAAGAAAAUCAACUGGAAUCAACUUGAAUUGACUGGACUCUUCUUUUACACGACAUGACCUGCUGUGACCCAGAUGCCUCUAUCCACUGAAGCAGAGAUAAUUCAUCCAUUUUCCCCCAAUGGGUUCUUAUUCAUCACUUCUAAAUAAUAAUUUUGUGUCUUUUCCAUCAGUAGAGAGGAACAGAGCAAAUUAUGGAUGUCUUCUGUUAUGUUUCCCCUUUGAAAACGAUAUUUUUGUAAAGCUCACUAAUUCACUUAACAGUCACAAAGGACAUAGCGACACACACCAGCACUGGUAAAAUCAAACCCGAGUCAAAAACCGCAGGCAAGAUGGCCGCCCAUACUGCUGCUGCUUCAAAAAUAUACGUGUCAAUUCGGGAAUAGUCAAAUCUGCUAACGUGUGCGUUGCAAGACUUAACUGUUUAGUGUUAUUAUAUUCAAAUUAUGAAAAUAAUAUAGCUGUAUAUAACGUAUACAUACUUCAAUUUCCUUUUUCCAAACAUUGCUGUCUAUUUUCUUAUGGUUGUGCACUGUAUGUACUGUGUGUGGUUGUUCACAAAAAUUACUGUCCACGUGUUGUUUAUUUUAUCAAUUGACUAUUAGUACUUGAUUGUUUUGCUAUCAUGAGAUGGCUAUACCAUGUUAAACAUCUAGGCAACACAUGGCUAUGUUCUAUCAUGAGAUAGCUAUACCAUAAUAAACUCUACAGGAUCGGUGCCCACCCCCGCGGAAUGGUUGAGCUAAUAUGUGCUAAUGUGAUUAGCAUGACAUUGUAAGUUAAAAUAACAUUUUCCAGGACAUGGGCAGAAAGCUUAAACUGCACUGUCCAAUUUACAGUAGCUAUUACAGUGAAAGAAUACCAUUCUAUUAUUUUAGGAGAAUUGUACAGUUAUGUAUCAAUAACCAUGUAUCAAUAAACCAAUUAGGCACAUUUGGGCAGACUUGAUACAAUAUUUUGAACAGAAAUGCAAUGGUUCAUUGGAUCAGUGCAAAACUGUGCCAUCUAGUGGCCAACAUCUAAAUUGAGCCUGGACUGGAAUAAUCAUUGUGGCCCGUUUUUGGCUUUUCAAAGAUGAUGAAAAAAACAUGAUCUUUAAUCAGAUCGAAUGUGUUCUAUUCUCCGACAUUCAUUUCACAUUUCCACAAAAAUUCAAAGAGUUUCUUUGCAAAUGGUAUCAAUAAUAUGCAUAUCCUUGCUUCAGGGCCUGAACUACAGGCAGUUAGAUUUGGGCAUGUCAUUUUAGGCAAAAUUUAAAUAAAAAAAAUAAAAAAAGGGUUGGAUCCUUAAAUAUACAUCUUGGCUACACAUGGCUAUUUUCUGAUUUUUUUAAUACUCUUGACUUUUGAAUAGUGUUAAUAUUUCCUGUUUUUAUGUUAUAUUAUAUUAUAAAAGUCUACUACAUAUUUCAUACUUUUUUCUUUUUCUUAAAACUAGUUUUGGUCAAUAGGCAACAAUUUUCAGUCUUUCAUGAUCCUUUUUUAAAUGGUGGCUUUGUAAGUUUAUUCUUUUUCGUCUUCUUCCAGGUUUGAAGUCAGAUUGUCACAUUGUCAUUACAGCAGAGUGAUUCAUUUUGUGUGGAUGCUAUUGAUAGUAUUCCCACCCAGUGAUUUUACCAUACUUGUAUUUCAUUCCUUUCUCUUUUUAACUUUAACAUCAAUCAAAUCAUGACCUUUCACACUGUAAGCAAAAUGAUAUGUACGGUCUUUCAAUAAAAAAAUAUCUAAA